rnacentral:rRNA from 1 species
UACAGAGGGUGCGAGCGUUAAUCGAAAUUACUGGGCGUAAAGGGUGUGUAGGUGGCUGGGUAAGUCAGAUGUGAAAGCCCCGGGCUUAACCUGGGAAUGGCCUUUGAUACUGCCGAGCUAGAGUUUUGUAGAGGGACACGGAAUUCCGGGUGGAGUGGUGAAAUGCGUAGAGAUCCGGAGGAACACCAAAGGCGAAGGCAGUGUCCUGGGGAGUACCUGACGCUCAGGUGCGAAAGCCAGGGGAGCGAACGGG